rnacentral:rRNA from 1 species
CUACGUGCCAGCAGCCGCGGUAAUACGUAGGGUGCAAGCGUUAAUCGGAAUUACUGGGCGUAAAGCGAGCGCAGACGGUUACUUAAGCAGGAUGUGAAAUCCCCGGGCUCAACCUGGGAACUGCGUUCUGAACUGGGUGACUAGAGUGUGUCAGAGGGAGGUAGAAUUCCACGUGUAGCAGUGAAAUGCGUAGAGAUGUGGAGGAAUACCGAUGGCGAAGGCAGCCUCCUGGGAUAACACUGACGUUCAUGCUCGAAAGCGUGGGUAGCAAACAGGAUUAGAUACCCUGGUAGUCCACGCCCUAAACGAUGUCAAUUAGCUGUUGGGCAACUUGAUUGUUCAGUAGCGUAGCUAACGCGUGAAAUUGACCGCCUGGGGAGUACGGUCGCAAGAUUAAAACUCAAAGGAAUUGACGGGGACCCGCACAAGCGGUGGAUGAUGUGGAUUAAUUCGAUGCAACGCGAAGAACCUUACCUGGUCUUGACAU